GACGUAGGGCGCGAGCGUUGUCCGGAUUUAUUGGGCGUAAAGAGCUCGUAGGCGGCUUGUCGCGUCGUCUGUGAAAUCCCGCGGCUCAACCGCGGGUCUGCAGUCGAUACGGGCAGGCUAGAGUUCGGUAGGGGAGACUGGAAUUCCUGGUGUAGCGGUGAAAUGCGCAGAUAUCAGGAGGAACACCAGUGGCGCAGGCGGCGUCCUGGACCGGCACUGACGCUGAGGAGCGAAAGCGUGGGGAGCGAUCCGG
rnacentral:rRNA from 1 species